AGGGAAACCGAGUCUUAAUAGGGCGUCUAGUUGCAGGGUAUAGACCCGAAACCGAGUGAUCUAUCCAUGAGCAGGUUGAAAGUGACGUAACAGUUACCGGAGGACCGAACCCACUGUCGUUGAAAAGCCAGGGGAUGACUUGUGGAUAGGGGUGAAAGGCUAAUCAAACUCGGUGAUAGCUGGUUCUCCCCGAAAGCUAUUUAGGUAGCGCCUCGGACGAACACCAUUGGGGGUAGAGCACUGUUUCGGCUAGGGGGUCAUCCCGACUUACCAAACCGAUGCAAACUCCGAAUACCGAUGAGUGAUAUCCGGGAGACAGACGGCGGGUGCUAACGUCCGUCGUCAAGAGGGAAACAACCCAGACCGCCAGCUAAGGCCCCAAAUUCCUAGUUAAGUGGGAAACGAUGUGGGAAGGCACAGACAGCUAGGAGGUUGGCUUAGAAGCAGCCAUCCUUUAAAGAAAGCGUAAUAGCUCACUAGUCGAGUCGGCCUGCGCGGAAGAUGUAACGGGGCUCAAACUAGGAGCCGAAGCUGCGGAUUUAAUUGUUUCAAUUAAGUGGUAGGGGAGCAUUGUGUAAGCCUGUGAAGGUGUGUUGUAAAGCAUGCUGGAGGUAUCACAAGAGCGAAUGCUGACGUGAGUAACGACAAAACGGGUGAAAAGCCCGUUCGCCGGAAGACCAAGGGUUCCAGUCCAACGUUAAUCGGGGC
rnacentral:rRNA from 1 species